CGGCAUCAUCUCCUUUGAAAGAUUGCAUAAACGAGGGGCAACAGUGUAUAAACAUAUAUCAUGACAAAAAACAUACUAAGCAUUAUUAAUAUGCUAGCAAAGGAAAGUUAAACAUAACAACAUGAACUGAAUUAACCAGUGCACACGACUAGAAAAAACAAACAUCAUUUGACAUCGAGUUUCUAAUUAAAUCAUGGCUGCAACUGGGCAGCGUUAUUAUAAUAGUGAAGGUGGACGUGCUGCUACUUCCCUCAUUCCCAACAUGAAUCAAAUACCUGCAUUGAUUAAUGCAAGAGUGAGAUGAUACAUCUCAGCAAGCAAAUUAUUUUGACGAGAUAUUUAAACCACAAAUUGAAUUAAACAACAUUUUAAAGGAAUCCCAAUUGAGAUCAGAAAUACUUGUAGAUAUAGAACUCAAUAGUCCUAAUAUAACCAAUACCAUCUCAUUUCCUCGAACAACCACAAUAGGUUGUAUAACCCUUCCCUGCGUCAACAAUACCUGCAGAUAUCACUUCAAUGUAUGCAUAGGAAUGCAAUGUGUAGGUCAUCUCCCCUCAUACCUCUGAGAGUAUAAAACCACAUCAUCUGCUAAUAUCACUUCAAUGAAUGCAUAUAAAUGCAAUGCAUAUGUCCUCUGCCUUCAUACCUCUAAGGGUAUGAAGCCGCAUCAUACCCCUCCUCGGGCAACGUACGAUGCUAAGUUGUACCGGUACGGUCGGACCAUAGGUCACGACCAAACUUCAGAUGCAAAUGAAUAAUGUAAUGCAUAUGGCAUGCUGCAUUUAUCAAUAUACUUCACUUCCUUCAGAUACAAUACAAACCUCAAAUAAUACUUUAUCUGCCUUCAGGGGUGUAAAUUAAUCUCAUGGGUCAUACUCGAACCAUAAUCAUCAUCAAUAUAUGAUUGAGCAUCAGUAUAAUACAAGCAAGUAAAGCAUCAUCAUAGAGUUCAAUUAUGAAAGAAUUCCAUAAUUCUGAAUAUUAGAGCGUAGGCGAUAAAAAAACAACAAGUCAAAACGGUAGCAACCACUGCUACAUUCACUUGCCUUCAUCGAAGAAGAAAGAUGUACUAGGCAUGAUCCGGAGUGUAGCCACCUGCUAGCGGGCAUAAAAAUUAGUACAAAUAUUUCACAAACAUUUGCUAACAAUCAACAAAUCGCUCGUACACUUGAAACCAAAUCCCGGUGAAAAGACUCCCACCCUGAACCACAUGUCAAACAGCAGCAACGCUGUUUGUUAAUUUUGUAUCUUUAAAAUUAUAACAGUGGUGAUAUUAAACAAAUAAUCUAUGAGUGUCUACACAAAAUAUUCUAUAACUUCGGUAUUCAAUGGAUAAUUAAAUUCUGCCAUCUAUAAGUACUAAAACAUCUGAUAAGAUAAAUGUCUGAAUCUGUUUUAGACAGCAGCAUAGUUAACUUCAAAAUUCAAUAUCUACCAAACUACUCAACCAAAAAUUAUGAAAUUCUGCUGGCAGUAAGAACUUUUAUCCCUCUACAAAUGUCUCCGUAGUUGGAACAACCAAUUUGGCUAUUUACUAUAUGAAACCCACCAGUGAACAGACCCGCUCAUUUUUGUCAGGCAAACAGGAACAGCCACAGUAAAACAAACAUAACUGGACUUUCAUAAUUCAUAUGAAUGCGCUCUUUAACAAUAUGGAAAGCUUAUGAAAUUGUCUACAACUUCUUUUACAAUCCUAAAGUUUAAUUCUGUUGAUAAAAUUACCUAAAGCUUAAGAGAACAGAUUCUGUACAGAAUUAUGAGACUGAAAAACUGCUAUAAUCAAACUGCAAUAACUUUCUGAUCUGAUAUCCGAUUGAGGUGUUCUUCACGGCCACAGAAAGAUCUACAAAUUAUCUACGACUCAUAGAUAGACUUUUUAUUUUUUUGAGGCCACUAAGACCACGGAAAACUGGUAUGAACAGAAACUAUUGAAUCUGCCAUUCUGCAGAAACUAAUUUCGAGAUUAAAAUCUAAUCUCCUAUCCAAUCUAACAAAAAAAAAUUAAUUGCAGGGCCUAAAACUCAUCCAAAACAAGGGAAAUCAUUCAUCAAGUGGAUAAAAGAGAGAGAGGAAAGGAAAUCCAACCAAUUCUUAGAGAGGAACGACGAUGAUGGGCGACGGUAUGCCCUCAUCUCCCCUCUCUUCUCUUCUUUUUUUCUUCCUCUCUUCUCUUGGGGCAAGGCACAAAAGGGUGACGGCUG
rnacentral:lncRNA from 1 species